UGGCCCAGUGAUUAAGAAAAGACGCGUUAUUACGAGGACCAAAUACUGGGAACUCCUUUUUCCUUCUCUUAUUUUCUUCCUUUUUAUUCUCUCCUUCCCAGCCUAUAGUUCUUUUUCUCUUGCUACUUUUUUUUUCUUUAUUUCAGAGUUACCAGUGUCCUUUGAGCAAGAUUAUGAGAUCUGAGGGCUU